CUUAGCGGCGGACGGGUGAGUAAUGCUUAGGAAUCUGCCAUUUAGUGGGGGACAACAUUCCGAAAGGGAUGCUAAUACCGCAUACGCCCUACGGGGGAAAGCAGGGGAUCUUCGGACCUUGCGCUAAAUGAUGAGCCUAAGUCGGAUUAGCUAGUUGGUGGGGUAAAGGCCUACCAAGGCGACGAUCUGUAGCGGGUCUGAUAGGAUGAUCCGCCACACUGGGACUGAGACACGGCCCAGACUCCUACGGGAGGCAGCAGUGGGGAAUAUUGGACAAUGGGGGGAACCCUGAUCCAGCCAUGCCGCGUGUGUGAAGAAGGCCUUUUGGUUGUAAAGCACUUUAAGCGAGGAGGAGGCUACUUGGAUUAAUACUCUAGGGAUAGUGGACGUUACUCGCAGAAUAAGCACCGGCUAACUCUGUGCCAGCAGCCGCGGUAAUACGUAGGGUGCGAGCGUUAAUCGGAUUUCUGGGCGUAAAGCGUGCGUAGGCGGCUGAUUAAAGUCGGAUGUGAAAUCCCUGAGCUUAACUUAGGAAUUGCAUUCGAUACUGGGUCAGCUAUAGUAUGGGAGAGGAUGGUAGAAUUUCCAGGUGUAGCGGGUGAAAUGCGUAGAGAUCUGGGAGGGAAUACCGAUGGCG
rnacentral:rRNA from 1 species